CCAGACUUGUUAAACAAAUAUAAUAGUAAUAGAGGUUGAAGAGUUAAGCAUUUUUAUAAUGUGUUUCAGGUCAGUUAUCUUCGCACGGUUGGCGGGGCCAGUGUUGAGGACUCAACAAGACGGAUCCUUGUAAGACUAUUCAAAAAUGAGCUUGCGAGAGAAUUUAGUUGGGAAGGAAGAGGAUGAAAGAAGUGGAGUCUGCAGAACUCUGCAUUGGUGCAGUUGAUUUGCCGUGUAGUUCGUCAACAACACCCGUCCUCAUUCGAUCUCACAACGUUUGAGAAAAAAACCAGCGAAUGGUUACGCCAAGCAGGAACAAGGAUUUAUGUCAAAAAUAAAAAUUUAGGUUUACCGCAGAUGAUCAAUUAAAUAGUUUUUUCUUGACAUUU